UACAGAUUACCAGACCUGGUGAAAACCAAACAGGAUGAUGCAUCAAAAAAAGAGUAGGGGAAGGGAGAGAUAGUUUCUUGAGACUGGGCCACCCGUAUAACUUCAGCAGCUGCAUUCCUUACUAUCAGCUCUUCACUCUGCAACAGGAGAACCACGCAUUUCCACAUGGUCAGCGUAUCGGAAAGACCUGAACAUUUACAGAGAGGGAAAGAAUUUAGAUUUUUGCUCUUCACAAGGCAAAUCAGAACAGUUACAGAAAUAUGUACUUCCUCAUCUAAACAUACCAAAAAUGUAAUAAAAUAUUCAAAA